CGGGGGUGAGUGCAUGAUGGGCACAGAGUCUCUUUUGGGGUGAUGAAAAGGUUUUGAAACUGGAAAAAGUUGAUGCUUACACAACAUUGUGAAUUAUUAAAUGUGGCUAAAUUGUACACUUUCAAAUGGUUAAAAUAGUAACUUUUAUGUUGUGUGUAUUUUACUAUGAUUAACCUGCCUAGGUGAUUCAUUGUGGGGACAAUUUUGAGAACCACUGAAUUAGAGCAUUCAUUUAUGCUUAACUCUGCUGUGGAGACCUGAAGAAAUGUCAAAUUCCUGUUUGAGAUAAUCAUUACAACUGGCUGGCGUCAAUGAGUUUACUGUAUCAUGUCAUUUCCAAUGGUUCCAAACUUCUGUUUUGAAUUUGCAUAUAAUGAAAUUCACUCUUCUCAGGAAGAAUUUCUGCAAGUUCUGACAAACACAGAGUCUGUGUUUGGAAAACGCAUGUGUGAAUUCCAUCCCUGCCCAUUUCCCCUGAGCUGUCUCCGUGGCCAUACACUUCCUUGGUCUGACUCGUUUUCUCUCUCUACAGUUUUGUCUUUUCCAGAACAGCAGACAAGGAUUCCUACAACAGCACAGACAUCUGUCUGCCUUCCUAUAACAUGUCAGUGAUCUUUGGAAUCCUUUUCAUGACAAAAUGAAGGAAAGAAGUAUUUCCUGAAAGAGAGAAGAUGGUUGCCUAUGGAAUGACAGUAAUGGUGUCUCCAAAUUGGUACUGGAGAAAGGCAACUGAUCCAUGGAUGCUUUUGGUGGUCACACUUGGAGCACAACCUGCAACCAGGACACAAGUCUGGAGGGAGUGACGGCCCUCACUGCUUUGGACAGGCAAUGACAGGUCCACAGGGAAACUGCUUGGCUGCUCAUAAUCAGCAGAUCGAGUGCAUUACAACUACGAUGGAUCCCUGUGCUGAACUCAUGUGGUGCUUGGGUUUAUGGAACAGAAAUGUAAUUGAAACACCGCGAGUGCAGGAGGCACAGUCGUCUCUAGUGGAAAAGUGCAGGAAUCCUCUGGUCUCUGGGCUGCACAAGACUUCCUUCUAUCUGUAAGUCCCCAAUAAACUGCAUUUGUGCAAUCCUGGAUGCUUUUGCUUUUGACUUUUCA
ensembl:lncRNA